GUAUUACGCUAUAGGCGCACAAUGAAAACCAGAAAACAGACGCCAGUACGACGUAUCUAUCUUCUACUAGAAUAUAGAUCUCAAGAAACUCAGCAGCUAAAAAUAUCAAAUCUUCAGUCAUUAGCUGACAGUGAUUUCCCCUUCUCAUCUCUAGUGGUCUUUUCUCCGCCUUGAAUUUUCAUCGCACUACUAAUGAUUUCCGCGACUUCCUUCACAGCUACUCUUUCCACCCGGACGCCGUAUAAAUCCCCAAAAUUGACGCGGAAAUCCUUGUCUUCUAGCUCCGGUUUAGGGUUUUUAUCUGCCAGUUCCAAGUCCUUUAUGGCACUUAGAGCCGAUAAUAAUGGUAGUAAUGGCGGCGGUUCAGCUCUCGGUGCUCGUAUGGUAUCCACUCCUACUGUUGAGCCUCUGAUUUCUCUUGAUUUUGAGACCUCUGUCUUCAAGAAGGAGAAGAUCUCCCUCGCUGGUCAUGACGAGUACAUUGUGAGAGGAGGAAGGGAUUUGUUCCACUUGCUGCCAGAUGCAUUCAAGGGAAUCAAGCAGAUUGGCGUUAUUGGUUGGGGUUCCCAGGGUCCUGCCCAAGCUCAGAAUUUAAGGGAUUCUCUAGCAGACGCCAAGUCUGAUAUUGUAGUGAAGAUUGGACUUAGGAAGGGAUCUCAUUCAUUCAAUGAAGCUCGUGCAGCUGGUUUUACUGAAGAGAAUGGGACUCUAGGCGAUAUAUGGGAAACUAUUUCAGGCAGUGACCUUGUCAUGUUACUGAUAUCUGAUGCUGCACAGGCUGAUAACUAUGAGAAAAUUUUAUCCCAUAUGAAGCCAAACAGCAUACUUGGGCUUUCCCAUGGAUUUCUUCUUGGACAUUUGCAGUCAAUGGGACUUGACUUUCCAAAAAACAUUAGUGUGAUUGCUGUGUGUCCCAAGGGAAUGGGUCCAUCUGUAAGGAGACUCUAUGUUCAAGGCAAAGAAAUCAAUGGUGCUGGAAUUAAUUCUAGUUUUGCAGUCCACCAGGAUGUUGAUGGUAGAGCCACAGAUGUUGCCUUGGGAUGGUCAAUUGCCCUUGGUUCUCCUUUCUCUUUUGCCACUACUCUAGAACAGGAGUACAAGAGUGACAUCUUUGGGGAGCGUGGCAUUUUACUGGGAGCUGUACAUGGAAUUGUGGAGUCCUUGUUUAGACGAUACACUGAAAAUGGAAUGAGUGAAGAGGAAGCUUACAAGAAUACUGUUGAGUGCAUAACUGGAAUUAUAUCAAAGAUCAUCUCAACCCAGGGUAUGUUGGCCGUAUACAAUUCCUUGUCUAAAGAAGGGAAAAAAGAAUUUGAGAUUGCAUACAGUGCUUCAUAUUAUCCCUGCAUGGAUAUCUUGUACGAGUGCUAUGAAGAUGUAGCUUGCGGCAAUGAGAUUCGCAGUGUUGUCUUGGCUGGCCGUCGCUUUUAUGAAAAGGAUGGUCUUCCAGCUUUUCCAAUGGGUAAAAUUGAUCAAACACGCAUGUGGAAGGUUGGUGAGCGAGUCCGAUCAGUUAGACAAGCAGGGGACCUAGGUCCAUUAUAUCCUUUUACUGCAGGCGUCUAUGUGGCAUUAAUGAUGGCGCAGGUAACACAUACAUAUAAAUGAUGUAGUUUUCUUUAAUCACCAAGCAUCUAGUGGUUCCCUUCUCUCUCUGUCCCCUGUUUCUUUUGUAGGUGUAGUAAAAUAAUUUGGGUUUAUUGCCAUUGGGCCUUAUAUCUUGGUUUAUAGUAACACCACUUAUUGACUUGACUGGGCAAGAAAGGAAUUGGAAAUAGACGAUGUUUUGGUAUCUCACUUUUUGGCUUUAUAAUGUCUAAUGUUUGUAUUUCUGAAUUCUAGAUUGAAAUCUUAAGGAAGAAAGGGCACUCAUACUCUGAGAUCAUCAAUGAAAGUGUGAUAGAGUCUGUGGAUUCUUUGAAUCCAUUUAUGCACGCACGUGGAGUUUCUUUCAUGGUUGACAAUUGCUCAACAACAGCAAGAUUGGGAUCCAGGAAAUGGGCUCCUCGUUUUGAUUAUAUCCUUAACCAACAAGCUUUGGUAGCUGUGGACAAUGAAACUCCCGUCAAUCGAGAUCUCAUUGGCAACUUCCUAUCAGAUCCGGUGCAUGGAGCCAUUGAAGUUUGUGCUCAACUGAGACCUACAGUAGACAUUUCAGUGCCACCAGAUGCUGACUUUGUGAGACCUGAGUUGCGCCAAUCUAGCAAUUGAGAUCUGAAGAACUUUAAUUUGAACCGGCUAGGAGAAAUCCCUACCUAUAGGUUGAGGGUGAAGCUUGCUUUGGAUUGUAAGCGUAGUCUAGUUCUGUGAACUUACUCUUGUGUGACAUUUGUAGUAUUAUGAUCUAACUUUUUUUGU
rnacentral:misc_RNA from 1 species